ACUCGAUCGAGCAGCUCCUUUGUUCUACAUUUUGGUUCAGCCUUACACAUUUCACCGGAUAUCUGAAUUUAAUUAGAUGUAUGUAGAUAGAUACUUUGGCGUACAAGGACCCAUUGUACUCCUUUUUUUGUAGCCUCACAAUCAGUCCAUAUACAUGUUCUAGACCGUACAAAAUGGUGUGGUGGUAAUAAACUAAUAAUCAUGGCACCUUUACUGCAUACGACAAUAUGCAUAUACCCGACCGACGUUGUUGCUUAUGUACUUGUUGCUAAUGUAUUGGAUUUCACGAUGCUGGAAAUGUUUUGUUGUCACUUGUUCAGAUGGGAGGAGGCCAUGCCAAAUGGUGCGUGUGUGGCUGGCUUUGUUCAUUAGGUGUGCGUGUGGGAAAGCAGGCUCUCGUGGACUUUUCUUGCAGGCUACAAUAGACACAUCAAUGAUGCAUAUGGAGACAGAAAACACGAACCAAACAGCUAAUUAAAUUAAGCUCAGCUCUAGUAUUUAGUUCUUGGCGCCUGUGAGUGACUCGAGGACAAGCAGGCAGAAGCAGAAGCGGGGUCACAAUUGUGCAGUUUUAUGAAAGAAACAGAAAAAGAAAUAAGAUGCGGUAAAAUUUUGGUGAAGAACAUUUUUCCAUAGCUUGUGAACAUGUCGGUCCUCCGAUUUUAAUUUUUCAUGAUUUGUGGUCCAUUCAUGCUUUUGA